rnacentral:rRNA from 1 species
CAGGCCUAACACAUGCAAGUGAACGAUACCUUUCGGGGUAUAGUGGCGCACGGGUGCGUAACGCGUGGGAAUCUGCCCUGGGGUUCGGGAUAACCGUUGGAAACGACGGCUAAUACCGGAUGAUGAUGAAAAUCCAAAGAUUUAUCGCCCUGGGAUGAGCCCGCGUCGGAUUAGCUAGUUGGUGGGGUAAAGGCCUACCAAGGCGACGAUCCGUAGCUGGUCUGAGAGGAUGAUCAGCCACACUGGGACUGAGACACGGCCCAGACUCCUACGGGAGGCAGCAGUGGGGAAUAUUGGACAAUGGGCGAAAGCCUGAUCCAGCAAUGCCGCGUGAGUGAUGAAGGCCCUAGGGUUGUAAAGCUCUUUUACCCGGGAUGAUAAUGACAGUACCGGGAGAAUAAGCUCCGGCUAACUCCGUGCCAGCAGCCGCGGUAAU